AUUGAACGCUGGCGGCAGGCCUAACACAUGCAAGUCGAGCGGUUGAGAGUAGCUUGCUACUUGAUGCAGCGGCGGACGGGUGAGUAAUGCAUGGGAAUCUGCCUGGUAGUGGGGGACAACGUUUCGAAAGGAACGCUAAUACCGCAUACGCCCUACGGGGAAAGGGGGAGUCUUCGGACCUCUCGCUAUCAGAUGAGCCCAUGUCAGAUUAGCUAGUUGGUGAGGUAAAGGCUCACCAAGGACGACGAUCUGUAACUGGUCUGAGAGGAUGAUCAGUCACACUGGAACUGAGACACGGUCCAGACUCCUACGGAGGCAGCAGUGGGGAAGUAUUAGGACAAUGGGGGCGAACCCUGAUCAAGCAAUGCCGCGUGUGUGAAGAAGGCCUUCGGGUU
rnacentral:rRNA from 1 species